rnacentral:rRNA from 1 species
UACGUAGGGGGCAAGCGUUGUCCGGAAUCAUUGGGCGUAAAGAGCGCGUAGGCGGAUUGCUAAGUCAGGGGUGAAAUCCUGGAGCUCAACUCCAGAACUGCCUUUGAUACUGGCGAUCUUGAGUCCGGGAGAGGUGAGUGGAACUGCGAGUGUAGAGGUGAAAUUCGUAGAUAUUCGCAAGAACACCAGUGGCGAAGGCGGCUCACUGGCCCGGUACUGACGCUGAGGUGCGAAAGCGUGGGGAGCAAACAGG